rnacentral:lncRNA from 1 species
GAAUAUCAGUGACCUGCCAUGGGAGGAAGGCCAGAGAUGCUUGCUGCGCAGCAGUGGUUCAGAAGUGUUUUAAUGAACUAAGAAGAGAUUUUCCAGAUGGCUGUGUUUGAUGCUGCCAACUAUCCCAGAUGGAGAGGGUUUCCUCACCUGCACCCAAUCUGUAUGUACCUCUCUCCAGUUGUUUCCUGUCAAGCUUGGACUCCUGAAUGAGAUAACACUGGAAAUGGCUGAGUUAAAUGAACAGUUGUUAUUUCCAGUUAUGACUUAAUCCCUGAUAAUGAUUUAUAUCUGGUUUUAUCCUUAAUCCCUUUCCGCUCAUUUACCUUAGUGAAUCAGAUCAAAUCAUUUAUAAACUCGAUGUUUCUUUCCCAUUUUCCUUUAUUUUAGCCAGAGGCCAAGCCAGAGCUAGGUAUGAGAAGCCAGUCCCCAGGGUUGCUUUUCCCUCGGCUUCUACUUGGCUCUGCAUAUUCCUCUGGAUAAAAACAACACCCAAAAUGAUGGCUCAGCCAAUGCUGUUUUAUCAAUCUAGAGGCAGAAG